UACGUAGGGUGCAAGCGUUGUCCGGAAUUAUUGGGCGUAAAGAGCUCGUAGGCGGUCUGUCGCGUCGGCUGUGAAAACCCGGAGCUCAACUCCGGGCCUGCAGUCGAUACGGGCAGACUGGAGUUCGGCAGGGGAGACUGGAAUUCCUGGUGUAGCGGUGAAAUGCGCAGAUAUCAGGAGGAACACCGGUGGCGAAGGCGGCUCACUGGCUCAUUACUGACGCUCAGGCGCGACAGCGUGGGGAUCAAACAGG
rnacentral:rRNA from 1 species